AUCCCACCAGGCCCUAUCAGAUCCCACCGGAUCCCAUCAGGUGCCACCAGGCCCUAUCAGAUCCCAUCAGAUCCCACCAGGCCCUAUCAGCUCCCAUCAGAUCCCACCAGAUCCCAUCAGUUCCCAUCAGAUCCCACCAGGCCCAGUCAGAUCCCACCAGGGAUCCCAUCAGGUGUCACCAGCCCCUAUCAACUCCCAUCAGAUCCCACCAGAUCCCAUUAGGUGCCACCAGGCCCUAUCAGCUCCCAUCAAAUCCCACCAGAUCCCACCAGGCCCGAACAACUCCUAUCAGAUCCAACCAGAUCCCAUCAGGUGCCUCCAGGCCCUUUCAGUUCCCACCAGAUCCUAUCAGACCCCACCAGGCCCUAUCAGCUCCCAUCAGAUCCCACCAGAUCCCAUCAGCUCCCAUCAGAUCCCACCAGGCCCAGUCAGAUCCCACCAGGGAUCCCAUCAGGUGUCACCAGCCCCUAUCAACUCCCAUCAGAUCCCACCAGAUCCCAUUAGGUGCCACCAGGCUCUAUCAAUCAGCUCCCAUCAGAUCCCACCAGAUCCCACCAGGUGCCAUCAGAUCCCACUGGGUGCCACCAGGUCCCACCAGAUCCUAUCAGACCCCACCAGAUCCCACCAGAUCUCACCAGGCCCUAUCAGAAUCCACCAGAUCCCACCAGGCCCUAUCAACUCCCAUUAGAUCCCACCAGGUGCCACCAGGCCCUAUCAGAUCCCACCAGAUCCCACCAGGCCCCAUCAGAUCCCACCAGCCCCUAUCAACUCCCAUCAGAUCCCACCAGAUCCCAUUAGGUGCCACCAGGCUCUAUCAAUCAGCUCCCAUCAGAUCCCACCAGAUCCCACCAGGUGCCAUCAGAUCCCACUGGGUGCCACCAGGUCCCACCAGAUCCUAUCAGACCCCACCAGAUCCCACCAGAUCUCACCAGGCCCUAUCAGAUCCCACCCGAUCCCACCAGGCCCCAUCAGAUCCCACCAGGUUCCACCAGGUGCCAUCAGAUCCCUCUAG
ensembl:lncRNA